AGAGUUUGAUCCUGGCUCAGAAUGAACGCUGGCGGCGUGCUUAACACAUGCAAGUCGAACGAGAAAGGGAUUGCUUGCAAUCCUGAGUAGAGUGGCGCACGGGUGAGUAACACGUAGAUAAUCUACCUUCGAUUUUGGGAUAACCAUCCGAAAGGGUGGCUAAAACCGGAUAAAGUUGAUACAUGAGAAUGUAUUAAUGAAAGAUAGCCUAUGCUUGCAAGCUAUUGAUUGGAGAUGAGUCUGCGGACCAUUAGCUGGUUGGUGGGGUAAGAGCCUACCAAGGCGACGAUGGUUAGCUGGUCUGAGAGGAUGAUCAGUCACACUGGAACUGGAACACGGUCCAGACUCCUACGGGAGGCAGCAGUGAGGAAUUUUGCGCAAUGGGGUAACCCCUGACGCAGCAACGCCGCGUGAGUGAAGAAGGCCUUUGGGUCGUAAAGCUCUGUCAACUGGGAAGAAAUUACAAGUAUCUAAUAGGUGUUUGUAUUGACGGUACCAGUGGAGGAAGCGCCGGCUAACUCCGUGCCAGCAGCCGCGGUAACACGGGGGGCGCAAGCGUUAUUCGGAAUUAUUGGGCGUAAAGGGCGUGUAGGCGGUCUUAUCGGUCAGAUGUGAAAGCCCAGGGCUCAACCCUGGACGUGCAUUUGAAACAGUAAGACUUGAGUACUGGAGAGGAAAGCGGAAUUCCUGGUGUAAAGGUGAAAUUCGUAGAUAUCAGGAGGAACACCGAUGGCGAAGGCAGCUUUCUGGACAGAAACUGACGCUGAUGCGCGAAGGCGUGGGUAGCGAACAGGAUUAGAUACCCUGGUAGUCCACGCAGUAAACGAUGUACACUAGGUGUAGGGGAUAUUAAAAUUUUCUGUGCCGCAGUUAACGCAUUAAGUGUACCGCCUGGGGAGUACGGUCGCAAGACUAAAACUCAAAGGAAUUGACGGGGGCCCGCACAAGCGGU
rnacentral:rRNA from 1 species